UUCACGAUCUUGUUCAGUUACAGAGUGGCUCCCCUCCCCCUUUGUGUUUUUAAUUCGUGUUUCUGUUGAAAUAUUGCAGCGCCAAGAGACGGAAGAUGUCAGACAAGAUCCUACCGCAGAGGAUCCGAGAGCUGGUUCCCGAAUCCCAGGCCUACAUGGACCUCCUGGCCUUCGAGAGGAAACUUGACCAAACCAUCAUGAGGAAGAGGGUGGACAUACAGGAGGCUCUGAAAAGGCCAAUCAAGGUACAGC